ensembl:snoRNA
AAGCAUCGCCUGAUAGGCCGGGAGUGAUUCCGUUUCCUCUCCGGCUUGCAUUCAGAUGCCAGAGUGACCCUCCCUGCGCUUUCUGCCUGCCCUGAUUCCCGUAGCAGCUCAGAUUGAAUAAGGGAGAACAUUU